rnacentral:rRNA from 1 species
UACCAGACUCCUACGGGAGGCAGCAGUGGGGAAUAUUGCACAAUGGGGGGAACCCUGAUGCAGCGACGCCGCGUGAGUGAAGAAGUAUUUCGGUAUGUAAAGCUCUCUCAGCAGGGAAGAAAAUGACGGUACCUGGUUAAGAAGCCCCGGCUAACUACGUGCCAGCAGCCGCGGUAAUACGUAGGGGGCGAGCGUUAUCCGGAUUUACUGGGUGUAAAGGGAGCGUAGACGGCUGGUCAAGUCUGAUGUGAAAAUCCGGGGCCCAACCCCGGAACUGCAUUGGAAACUGUUUAUCUAGAGUGUCGGAGAGGCAAGUGGAAUUCCUAGUGUAGCGGUGAAAUGCGUAGAUAUUAGGAGGAACACCAGUGGCGAAGGCGGCUUGCUGGACGAUGACUGACGUUGAGGCUCGAAAGCGUGGGGAGCAAACAGGAUUAGAUACCCCAGUA